rnacentral:lncRNA from 1 species
AUGAGUGCUGCAGAGGACAUCCCAUCCUCCUCACCCACAGCACUGCUGCCCUCCCAGCAUUCCCCCAAGACUCCUGAGAUUCCUGGGACUGCUGUUGUCUGGAAGGGAAGUUCCUGCAGAUCCCUAGCAAGCUGGCCCACCACCACCAUUCCCAGAGUCAGAGUAAAUUUUCUUGGAGGCAAAGCACCAUUCCCAACGCAGACAGCACCAUUCCCAAGGCAGCCGUGCAGAGGGAGCAGCUUGGCCACACGGUGGAGCGUUCGGAUCUCUGCAGGGAAAACCCAAACGCUGCUGCCUGCCAGGAGCCUCCAGCAGAGAGGGAUGUUGCAGGCUCACCUUGGGCAGUGCUCGACUUAGACCACACAGAAGGGACAGGCUAAGGACCAGCAGAGAUGCAGGAACUUUACUUAAUAAAUUUCUAAUAUAUCCUCCUUAACA